rnacentral:tRNA from 1 species
GCCUGGCUAGCUCAAUCGGUAGAGCGUGAGCCUCUUAAUCUCAAGGUUGCGGGUUCGACCCCCGCGUUAGGCU